CCUACGGGUGGCAGCAGUGAGGAAUAUUGGUCAAUGGACGCAAGUCUGAACCAGCCAUGCCGCGUGCAGGAUGACGGCUCUAUGAGUUGUAAACUGCUUUUGUACGAGGGUAAACCCCGAUACGUGUAUCGGGUUGAAAGUAUCGUACGAAUAAGGAUCGGCUAACUCCGUGCCAGCAGCCGCGGUAAUACGGAGGAUCCGAGCGUUAUCCGGAUUUAUUGGGCUUAAAGGGUGCGUAGGCGGUUUGAUAAGUUAGAGGUGAAAUGUCGGGGCUCAACCCCGAAACUGCCUCUAAUACUUUUGGACUAGAGAAUAGUUGCGGUAGGCGGAAUGUAUGGUGUAGCGGUGAAAUGCUUAGAGAUCAUACAGAACACCGAUUGCGAAGGCAGCGUACCGGCGCCAGACUGACGCUGAGGCACGAAAGCGUGGGGAUCGAACAGGAUUAGAUACCCGAGUAGUC
rnacentral:rRNA from 1 species